UAUUCAGUUGCCACAGCUGAUACGUGGGUGGGAGACAGUAGGAUGUGCUCCAGCGAGUCAAGAAAAAGCAGGGACAUUGUCUUGAACACAAGUGUCACAGUAAUAUGUGUCAGUCUUGCCCUCCCUGCCUCGGACAAGCUGGAGAGAAGCAGUGAAUCUGCAGCCCAAAAAA